rnacentral:rRNA from 1 species
CCUACGGGAGGCAGCAGUGGGGAAUAUUGCACAAUGGGGGGAACCCUGAUGCAGCAAUGCCGCGUGGGUGAAGAAGUACUCCGGUAUGUAAAGCCCUGUCAGCAGGGAAGAAAAUGACGGUACCUGACUAAGAAGCCCCGGCUAACUACGUGCCAGCAGCCGCGGUAAUACGUAGGGGGCAAGCGUUAUCCGGAUUUACUGGGUGUAAAGGGCGUGUAGCCGGGUUGACAAGUCAGAUGUGAAAUCCUGCGGCUUAACCGCAGAACUGCAUUUGAAACUGUUGAUCUUGAGUACUGGAGAGGCAGACGGAAUUCCUAGUGUAGCGGUGAAAUGCGUAGAUAUUAGGAGGAACACCAGUGGCGAAGGCGGUCUGCUGGACAGCAACUGACGGUGAGGCGCGAAAGCGUGGGGAGCAAACAGGAUUAGAUACCCUUGUA